GGCACCACAGUUCCCUUCUCCAGUGAUCUGGUUACAGAACACAUUCUCUGGCUCAUCUUGAAAAAGCAGCUUUUUUUUUUUUUUUGCUAUAACUUCAGAAACUCUGGGAGAAAAAAACUCCCCAAGCCUCAAAUAUUUUCCUACUGCAAACUUGAAAUUCUACCAGAGGGCCCGAGAUUCUACAGAGUGCCUGAAGCCACCAGUUCAGAUUAUGAUGGAGAGAAACAGAGAAAGACAGCUAGAGCAAACCAUGAUCCAGGCUGUCGGGGCAGGGGCUUCCCAGACAGGGCUUUAGAGCUGAAAGGCUGGGGACAGAGCAAGAGUGGCUGUUGAAGGAGGGGCACGGGCUCAGCUGUGCUUCCAACCUAAUCUGUCUCCCAGCUGGGUCCAGAGCUUCCUCCAGCCUGGGUCGUCUUCUCUCUAACCUUUGCUAGCAGGUUUCUAUGAGUGUGGAAGGAGAUGACAUGUGUGAGACCCUUGGCGCAGCUCCUGGCACACCUAAGGUGUCCUUUCUUAAAUGUGAGCUUGUGAUGCAUAACCUUGAGCUAACCUAUAGCCAGCACUCGGUAGGCAGAGGCAGAAGGUGAUGGAGCAAAACUAUACCUCUGAAGUACAUCAGUACAUCAGUUGUCGCCGUCGUCGUCGUCGUCGUCAUAGUAAACAUGGACGCAAGGCAAGGGCUCAUUCAGCGGUGUCUGCUGUGCAAAGAUCUGAGUUCAUAUCCCAGGACUCACGUUAAAAAGGAGGACGUGGUGCUGUGUGUCUAUAAGCCCAGCACUCCUAUGGCAGCAGGGAGGCAAAGACAGAAGAUUCCUGGGAGCUCACAGCUCAGGUAUCCUCGCAAAUGCAACAGGAAACAAGAGACCCUGCCUUAAACACGGUGAAAAGCGGAGAUGCAGGGCAGGAAAGUAAGGAGAGAGUCAUCCAUCCAUCUGUUACUGCCUCACAGCCAGCCCUCACCUGUCAACAGUGACCUUGACACUGGCCCUACCUUGGAACAAGAACUUUUUGCCACCAUCUGGUUUGGCAGCAGAUGUGGCUAGGUCUCUCUCCUUUUCUGAGUACCCAUGGCUGCCCUGCUCUCUUCUACCUUCAAGACACUGCAGAGGACUGACUACACACCCCAGCUUCUCCCUCCUCAGGCUUCCGGAGGGAGCUUCUGCUGCUGCUGCUCCAGGGAUAGCUGCUCAUGCAGUUAUUUGUUGCCUCAGUGUUCCUUGACAGGGAGCUGGCUGCCUUGUUUAUUGCUUGGUCCACUAUCCCUGGGCCUUUGCCAGACUCCUGAAAGGCAUCGAUAACAGGGAGGGACGGAAGACGGGGAGAAGAGUUCAGGGUCAUAGCUAAUGCCCAGCAGUGGCAAGAGUUCUUAGAGUUGCAAGAGAAGACUGCCCCUUCCUCUGGCAGAUAAAUGGCUGCCUGGCUGCUAUGAAAGACACAGCUGGUUCACAUCUGGACCAUGCCAUAGGUGGUCAGUCAUCCCCACCCUUCCUCUUCCCAUCUUACAGGAGAGUUCUAAACUCAAGAAGAAAGUGGUGCCCCCCCCCCCAGGAAACAGCAGGUGUCCUAGUGUGCUGUGCUCAAAGGCCUCAGAGGACAGGUGAGCUGACGGUGCCUUCUCUUAAACUUGUCCUAGCCCAGUGACUCUCUUGCCCUUUGAAACAAGCUCUUCAGUGAGGCCACAGAGGAAAAAAAAAACCUCAUUCUCUGGGAACUGGGAGUCAGGAAGUAUAACACUCACCUUCUGAGGCCCCUGGGACUAAAACAGAGGGACUUGAGCACCCCUGCAGGGCUGCUGAGUCCCCAGCAGACACAGAAUGCCUGCUAUCUCUUGCCAGUAUCUAGGUUUCUACAGGGGGCACCUGUGAGCCUUGAUUAUCAGGAGACACCCAGUCUCCUCUGGAAGCUUAAGCCCCAGGCCCAUCCCCUUUCUUGUCUAGGGUGGGUGUGGAGGCUGGGGUGCAAUCUUGGAUGCAGUUCCUCAGGAGCCGUUCACUUUGUUUCUUAAAAAACAAAAACGCGUUUUUAAAUUUAUUUUAUUUCCUGCGUGUAUGCACUGAUCAUAUCCACUCCAGCUCCCCUUCCAACUCCUUCUAGACACCUCAACAUAUCUCCUCUUCCCGACUUCACCUCCCUUCUCCCUCUUGGUACUCCACUGAGUCUAAUUAGUGAUUGUUAACAUAUCAACUGAGCUGGUUGACCUGAUCUUGUGCAGGUAAUUGUAGCAGCAGUGAAGACAUGGUACAACAGGCCUCUGGAUGGUCGAGCCGGCUACUGGCGAUCUCAGGCCAGGGUUCUGAUCCCAGCUCCACCACCUGCUCUCUCUGUGAUCAUAGACAAGAAGCUUGAACUCCCCCCAAGUCUCCCUACCAUCACCUAUCUGUAAUAAAGACAUCUGGGCUCUU